UCAAGGGUUGGCUAACGGGGGUUGAGAGAGGAGCCCUAAUCUUGCUGUGGGUCCCACUGCUGGCAGGGGCCAAGGCUCAGGGUUGCAGUAGCAUCCACACUGGCGGGACAGCUACGAAGUACUCAGCCAUGGCCACGACGUACUGGGUCCUGUGUAAAAGCCGGCCACGCAACCUCGCCCACUGCUUUCUGCAUCCAUGCCAUGACGUCUCUUUGAGCUACAGCGUCUCUUCUCUGAAGGAGCCCAGUCUCCAUGUCAAGGUUUCAUGUGAUGGAGAAUCCACCACAAUCCCCAGCUUCCAACCCCUGGGGUCUCAUCUGGCUUUUGGCGGCUAGAUUAAGAAGCAGUAUUAUCGAACAUCUCUUCCCUCCGAAGAUCUUUGAAGACAGUGAUCAAGUUAUCUUGUCACCUUCCCUUAGAUAAACCAAACAGAAUCCGAGCUGGUGGGUUCCAUCAACCGGGAGGAGGGAGAGACGAAUCAGCCAGCUGAUACCAUCCCCACUCCAGCCGCGUCUGUGGAACCUGCCUCUGCUGGCCUUUGUUUCCUCCUGCCAACUUCACGAUGGGAGAAAUAACAAGUCCAGAAGAACACGGCGGUGGCGGGUCUAACCUCACCGGCCACCUGGGGAGAAAACAAAAGGCGCGCGAGCCCCAGCUGCGCUCGGGGAGUGGAUCAGAAAGAUGGCAUCAUCUGAAGCCUCAUUCAACUUCCGAAGCUUGAAAACACUCUAAUUUCCAUGUGCCGGGUGUCCGCCGCCGCU